GUUUGGUUAAGUUAGAAAGGGCGCACGGUGGAUGCCUUGACACUAGGAGUCGAUGAAGGACGGGACUAACGCCGAUAUGCUUCGGGGAGCUGUAAGUAAGCUUUGAUCCGAAGAUUUCCGAAUGGGGAAACCCACCAUACGUAAUGGUAUGGUAUCCUUAUCUGAAUACAUAGGGUAAGGAAGACAGACCCAGGGAACUGAAACAUCUAAGUACCUGGAGGAAGAGAAAGCAAAUGCGAUUUCCUGAGUAGCGGCGAGCGAAACGGAACAUAGCCCAAACCAAGAGGCUUGCCUCUUGGGGUUGUAGGACAUUCUAUACGGAGUUACAAAGGAACGAGGUAGACGAAGCGACCUGGAAAGGUCCGUCGUAGAGGGUAACAACCCCGUAGUCGAAACUUCGUUCUCUCUUGAAUGUAUCCUGAGUACGGCGGAACACGUGAAAUUCCGUCGGAAUCUGGGAGGACCAUCUCCCAAGGCUAAAUACUCCCUAGUGAUCGAUAGUGAACCAGUACCGUGAGGGAAAGGUGAAAAGCACCCCGGAAGGGGAGUGAAAGAGAUCCUGAAACCGUGUGCCUACAAAUAGUCAGAGCCCGUUAACGGGUGAUGGCGUGCCUUUUGUAGAAUGAACCGGCGAGUUACGAUCCCGUGCGAGGUUAAGCUGAAGAGGCGGAGCCGCAGCGAAAGCGAGUCUGAAUAGGGCGUUUAGUACGUGGUCGUAGACCCGAAACCAGGUGAUCUACCCAUGUCCAGGGUGAAGUUCAGGUAACACUGAAUGGAGGCCCGAACCCACGCACGUUGAAAAGUGCGGGGAUGAGGUGUGGGUAGCGGAGAAAUUCCAAUCGAACCUGGAGAUAGCUGGUUCUCCCCGAAAUAGCUUUAGGGCUAGCCUUAAGUGUAAGAGUCUUGGAGGUAGAGCACUGAUUGGACUAGGGGUCCUCAUCGGAUUACCGAAUUCAGUCAAACUCCGAAUGCCAAUGACUUAUCCUUAGGAGUCAGACUGCGAGUGAUAAGAUCCGUAGUCAAAAGGGAAACAGCCCAGACCGCCAGCUAAGGUCCCAAAGUGUGUAUUAAGUGGAAAAGGAUGUGGAGUUGCUUAGACAACUAGGAUGUUGGCUUAGAAGCAGCCACCAUUUAAAGAGUGCGUAAUAGCUCACUAGUCGAGUGACUCUGCGCCGAAAAUGUACCGGGGCUAAAUACACCACCGAAGCUGCGGAUUGAUACCAAUGGUAUCAGUGGUAGGGGAGCGUUCUAAGGACAGUGAAGUCAGACCGGAAGGACUGGUGGAGUGCUUAGAAGUGAGAAUGCCGGUAUGAGUAGCGAAAGACGGGUGAGAAUCCCGUCCACCGAAUGCCUAAGGUUUCCUGAGGAAGGCUCGUCCGCUCAGGGUUAGUCAGGACCUAAGCCGAGGCCGACAGGCGUAGGCGAUGGACAACAGGUUGAUAUUCCUGUACCACCUCUUUAUCGUUUGAGCAAUGGAGGGACGCAGAAGGAUAGAAGAAGCGUGCGAUUGGUUGUGCACGUCCAAGCAGUUAGGCUGAUAAGUAGGCAAAUCCGCUUAUCG
rnacentral:rRNA from 5 species